rnacentral:rRNA from 1 species
AGUUACCAGCACGUUAUGGUGGGCGACUCUAAGGAGAACUGCCGGUGACAAACCGGAGGAAGGUGGGGAUGACGUCAAGUCAUCAUGGCCCUUACGGCCUGGGCUACACACGUGCUACAAUGGUCGGUACAAAGGGUUGCCAAGCCGCGAGGUGGAGCUAAUCCCAUAAAACCGAUCGUAGUCCGGAUCGCAGUCUGCAACUCGACUGCGUGAAGUCGGAAUCGCUAGUAAUCGUGAAUCAGAAUGUCACGGUGAAUACGUUCCCGGGCCUU